GUGCGUAUUGUUAUGCGUUUACUUUACUACAUUGGUUAGAGAUAUAGGGGGAGGGUUGAGAUCUCACAAACAUGUUUAACCCCGCCGCAUUUUUGCGCCUGUCCCAAGUCAGGAGCCUCUGACCUUUGUUAGUCUUGUAUUAUUUUAAUUUUAGUUUCUUGUGUACAAUUUGGAAAUUAGUAUGGCGUUCAUUAUCACUGGACUAGUAUAUAUUUGUUUAGGGGCCAGCUGAAGGACGCCUCCGGGUGCGGCAAUUUCUCGCUACAUUGAAGACCUGUUGGUGACCCUCUGCUGUUGUUUUUUAUUUGGUCGGGUUGUUGUCUCUUUGACACAUUCCCCAUUUCCAUUCUCAAUUUUAUUUGGACU
rnacentral:lncRNA from 1 species